rnacentral:rRNA from 1 species
GAUUGAAGCUUGCUUUGAACUGUUUUAGUGGCGGACGGGUGAGUAACGCGUGAGGAACCUGCCUUUCAGAGGGGGAUAACGUCUGGAAACGGACGCUAAUACCGCAUGACAUUUUGUUGCCGCAUGGUGAUAAAAUCAAAGGAGCAAUCCGCUGAGAGAUGGACUCGCGUCCGAUUAGCCGGUUGGCGGGGUAACGGCCCACCAAAGCAACGAUCGGUAGCCGGGCUGAGAGGCUGAACGGCCACAUUGGGACUGAGACACGGCCCAGACUCCUACGGGAGGCAGCAGUGGGGGAUAUUGCACAAUGGAGGAAACUCUGAUGCAGCAACGCCGCGUGAGGGAAGAAGGUUUUCGGAUUGUAAACCUCUGUCCUCAGGGACGAUAAUGACGGUACCUGAGGAGGAAGCUCCGGCUAACUACGUGCCAGCAGCCGCGGUAAUACGUAGGGAGCAAGCGUUGUCCGGAUUUACUGGGUGUAAAGGGUGCGUAGGCGGCACUGCAAGUCAGGUGUGAAAACCAUGGGCUUAACUUAUGGAUUGCACUUGAAACUGUGGUGCUUGAGUGAAGUAGAGGCAGGCGGAAUUCCCGGUGUAGCGGUGAAAUGCGUAGAGAUCGGGAGGAACACCAGUGGCGAAGGCGGCCUGCUGGGCUUUAACUGACGCUGA